GUUGAACGCUGGCGGCGUGCCUAAUACAUGCAAGUCGAGCGAACAGACGAGGAGCUUGCUCCCCUGACGUUAGCGGCGGCCGGGUGAGUAACACGUGGAUAACCUACUUAUAAGACUGGGAUAACUUCGGGAAACCGGAGCUAAUACCGGAUAAUAUAUUGAACCGCAUGGUUCAAUAGUGAAAGACGGUUUUGCUGUCACUUUUAGAUGGAUCCGCGCCGCAUUAGCUAGUUGGUAAGGUAACGGCUUACCAAGGCAACGAUGCGUAGCCGACCUGAGAGGGUGAUCGGCCACACUGGAACUGAGACACGGUCCAGACUCCUACGGGAGGCAGCAGUAGGGAAUCUUCCGCAAUGGGCGAAAGCCUGACGGAGCAACGCCGCGUGAGUGAUGAAGGUCUUCGGAUCGUAAAACUCUGUUAUUAGGGAAGAACAAAUGUGUAAGUAACUAUGCACGUCUUGACGGUACCUAAUCAGAAAGCCACGGCUAACUACGUG
rnacentral:rRNA from 1 species